GAUGAACGCUGGCGGCGUGCCUAAUACAUGCAAGUCGAGCGAACAGACGAGGAGCUUGCUCCUCUGACGUUAGCGGCGGACGGGUGAGUAACACGUGGAUAACCUACCUAUAAGACUGGGAUAACUUCGGGAAACCGGAGCUAAUACCGGAUAAUAUAUUGAACUGCAUGGUUCAAUAGUGAAAGACGGUUUUGCUGUCACUUAUAGAUGGAUCCGCGCCGCAUUAGCUAGUUGGUAAGGUAACGGCUUACCAAGGCAACGAUGCGUAGACGACCUGAGAGGGUGAUCGGCCACACUGGAACUGAGACACGGUCCAGACUCCUACGGGAGGCAGCAGUAGGGAAUCUUCCGCAAUGGGCGAAAGCUUGACGGAGCAACGCCGCGUGAGUGAUGAAGGUCUUCGGAUCGUAAAACUCUGUUAUUAGGGAAGAACAAAUGUGUAAGUACCUAUGCACGUCUUGACGGUACCUAAUCAGAAAGCCACGGCUAACUACGUG
rnacentral:rRNA from 1 species